rnacentral:rRNA from 1 species
UACGAAGGGGGCGAGCGUUGUUCGGAAUUACUGGGCGUAAAGGGCGCGUAGGCGGCCGAUCAAGUUAGAUGUGAAAGUCCUGGGCUUAACCUGGGGACUGCAUUUGAUACUGAUUGGCUUGAAUUCGGGAGAGGAUAGCGGAAUUCCCAGUGUAGAGGUGAAAUUCGUAGAUAUUGGGAAGAACACCGGUGGCGAAGGCGGCUAUCUGGACCGGUCCUGACGCUGAGGCGCGAAAGCGUGGGUAGCAAACAGG